UACGUAGGGUCCGAGCGUUGUCCGGAAUUAUUGGGCGUAAAGGGCUCGUAGGCGGUUCGUCACGUCGGGAGUGAAAACUCGGAGCUUAACUCCGAGCCUGCUUCCGAUACGGGCAGACUAGAGGUAGGCAGGGGAGAGCGGAACUCCUGGUGUAGCGGUGGAAUGCGCAGAUAUCAGGAAGAACACCGGUGGCGAAGGCGGCUCUCUGGGCCUUACCUGACGCUGAGACGCGAAAGCGUGGGGAGCGAACAGG
rnacentral:rRNA from 1 species